rnacentral:lncRNA from 1 species
CGAAUUGAGUCUUAUUGAGCAGGUUGGGCUGCUUCGACUGACUUCCGUUGAGAGGAAGUAUGAUGUCGAGAAGUGUAUGUUUGCGUCAAACCUUAGGGAUAUCCAAGACACGGGUAUAGUGCUUUGUCCGGUUAUUCUGUUUUUGUUUUUCCUUUGCUUGUGAUAUCAGGAAGGAUGCUGACUCUUUAUAACUUCUUGUUUUGUUUGCAGCUUCUGAGGUUAGAAUGGAGGGCAUCAAAUUCCC